rnacentral:rRNA from 1 species
CUACGGGCGGCUGCUGUGGGGAAUAUUGCACAAUGGGCGCAAGCCUGAUGCAGCCAUGCCGCGUGUAUGAAGAAGGCCUUCGGGUUGUAAAGUACUUUCAGCGGGGAGGAAGGGAGUAAAGUUAAUACCUUUGCUCAUUGACGUUACCCGCAGAAGAAGCACCGGCUAACUCCGUGCCAGCAGCCGCGGUAAUACGGAGGGUGCAAGCGUUAAUCGGAAUUACUGGGCGUAAAGCGCACGCAGGCGGUUUGUUAAGUCAGAUGUGAAAUCCCCGGGCUCAACCUGGGAACUGCAUCUGAUACUGGCAAGCUUGAGUCUCGUAGAGGGGGGUAGAAUUCCAGGUGUAGCGGUGAAAUGCGUAGAGAUCUGGAGGAAUACCGGUGGCGAAGGCGGCCCCCUGGACGAAGACUGGCGCUCAGGUGCGAAAGCGUGGGGAGCAAACAGGAUUAGAUACCCGAGUAGUC